GCGUAAGGAGAAAAAAAGGAAGGGGUAGGCUACGAGUAGAAAAGGGCGCGCGAAGCGCGCCGCCGAUUUGGCCACGCCCACUUUUACGGCCACGAAAUGGGCACAUUCUCGCAAUAUGAAGUUUCCUUUACUCUAAUAUCUAUGGUUCUCGCAACUGCUUCACACUCAGACUCAGAUGAGGACUCAGGCAAGACUCAAGGUAGCAGCACAAUCAACAAAAUCAUCAUUCACAAGAUUAUCAUCUUCAAUCUCCUCAUGCUCAUCUUCAGUACAAAUAGUCUAUAUGGGGGUUGACUACUAAUAUACUCAACUAAAUUUUGCAUAAAAAAUGACAAAGCUUUUGUUUCUUUGCAGCUGACAUUGUGUUGGCUUCACUUAAAGUUAACUUUUUAUAAUUUUAUUAAGCUAGCUAAUUAAUUAAGUUAAUUAUGUAAAGACUCCACCUUAAUAAAUUAUAAUAAUUGUGCUAAAAUGGCUGUUUUUCUUUUCUUUCUCCUGUCUCUGUUUGCCUGUGUCAAAAGUGACUGAGUGAGUAACUGCCAGUUGAGACAGCUACCCUAAACUUCUAUAAUCUUUGAUCAUAAGUGACUAAGGCAGAAACUCAAUAUAGGCUAUAGCCUACCAUAGCCUUAUGCUAGCUACGCCCUUGGUAACAAUGCUACACUAACAAUACAAGGUCUAUUGGAUAGUGUUGCUAAUCUGGAUUAUACCUUUAUUAAUGGAUCCAGUGUAUUAUUAACAUGGACAGCUCCUUAUACACUGGAUAAUGUACCUA